AACUCGGGGCGGGGGCGCCCAUUCCACGGCAAAAAAAAAAAAACUCUCCCCACCGGCUGCCUCGCCUGGCAACCGGGUCUCCCCCCACCAGCUUGUGCGAAUCCAUCUCGUUAUCCUCGCAUCCCUGAAGUGCAUUUACGGCGAGUCUGCUGCCAAGCGGGCGGAGAGGGGCGUCCCUCCCCCCGGGACCCGCUUGGAGAUAAAACCCGCGCCCUCGACAGAGAGCGCCCCGGCCCGGCGCGCGCGCUCGCGCGGCAGCGGCUGUCCCGGCUUACAGAGACCCAGCCAUUCAUUGGACAACCGUGUACAGCGCCUCCUCUAAGCCAGGCUUCUUCUGGACCACUGGGGGAUUCUCUAGGGGACCGGCGGCCACUGCCCGCUGUGGGGGUCUUUGCACUCUGCGGGGAGGAGGGGCGAGAAGAAAAUCCACAAACUGGAGAACUGUGAGGCUGUAAUAAGUGCUGUGCAGGGGAUUAAGACCAGCUGCUGUCGCAGAAAGUGAUUAUCAGUUACUUUAGAUCCCGUAGUCAGGGAGGACCUCUGAGGAGGUGCGGUCUAAGCUGCUGCCUGAGUGACGGAGGACAAAGAUAAGGGGGAGGGCACUCCAGGUAAAGGGAACAGCUAGUGCAGAGGCCCUAGGGUUGGCUUUUAGUGGCCUAUUCAAGGAAGAGGUGUGAGAGAUGAGGUCAGAGAGGCCAGAUCAUCCGUGAUUCUAAGGCAGCUGGGAAAGCUGUGGGGGGGCAUUAGCAGGACACAACAUAACCCGAUUUGCCUUUUAAGAGCUUCCCUCUGAUGGCUCAGACAGUAAAGAAGCUGCCUAUAGUGUAGGAGACCUGGGUUUGAUCCCUGGGUCAGGAAGACCCCUGGAGAAGAAAAUGGCAAACCUUACUCCAAUAUUCUUGCCUGGGAAAUCCCCCGGACAGAGACGCCUGUGUGGGCUAGAGUCCAUGGGGCCGCACAGAGUUGGACAGGACUGACUGACUAACACUUUCUUUUCUUUUUCUGGCCCAUAUGUGGGAAAGAGGUGGGGGUGUGGUGUCGCAGGCUAGUACAGAUUCACCGCUCCCUUCCUCACCCUUCCGCCCCUCUCUCCGUAUAGAUUGAUGUUUAGGAAAGGGUAGUGAGGAAAGGAGCUAUGGGUCUUGGAAAAAAAUAAAGAUGCACCACCACCACUCCUCACCACUCCCUCAAUUUUUUUUUUUCUUCUGAAUCUCCAGGGCUGUGUGUGUCCAUUUAAAGCCACACAAAUGCUUUGGAGAGCCAGCUAGGGUGACAGCCAGUGCACUUAGUAGACAAAAUGAUUCCCGAUCACACGGUCUGUGAACCUGGAAAAUGGAACUAAACAAAGACACAAGAAGAUCCAAAAUUCAGGAAGUGGGGAAUUCCAAAGUGAUGGUAUAUAUCGUGAAGGACAAAGAAGCCUGACGUGCUGCAGUUCACGGGGUCGCAGAGAGUCGGACACGACAUAGCACCAGAACAAAGAAACCCUGGAGGCUAGAAGAUCACAAGAGUCAUCAGUCGCCUUAAAAGUCUAAGGGAAAAGGAUUUCCUGCCUGGAUUCUAUGCCCACAGAGAGCAUCAGCCAAAUAUGUGACUGGAAUAUAAACAUUGUCAGAAAUGCAAGGUCACCAAAAAGAGGAAAAAAUGAACUGCCGUGCACCUCUCAGGAAGCUUUUGAAGCACACGCUCCCCUAGGAGCUGAGAGGGGGCAGGAUGGCUCCCCAGGGGGGCCAGUCCUUGGAGGGGAGAGAGGGGAC
ensembl:lncRNA